GAGCAUGAGGGAGGCUGGAGAAAGGGUGCCACCAAACAUCAGUAGAUUCACUGUGUCCACCAUAAUCUGAAGAUUUAGAGAAGAGAACAGAAUUAAGACUGCCACAUGGGGGUGGGAGGACAGGUAUGUUCUCCCCACACCAAGAGACCCUAAUUGUUGAUAUUGUCUGUAAGAACAAUGCUGUUAAACUGAGUGAAAUUGAGUAGCUCAUUGAGGACCAUAUAAAUUUUGAGGGUAUCAACUGUCAGCCUCUACUGUUGAUCGUGUCCUCAAGUGCAACAGACUGCACAUGAAACAGCUAUACAGAGUGCCCUUUGAUCGCAACUCGCAGAGUCAAAGAGCAAAGAUUCUAGUAUGUACAGAGGGUUUUUCAACUGGAUGCAAUGGAAAGACCCCAUGAAUACAUCUACAUGGAUGAAGCUGGGUUUAAUCUCCCCAAAAGGAGAAGGAGGCUGUAAUGUGAUUGGCCAUCAAGCCAUUGUUGGUGUCCCUGGGCAGCGUGGUGGCAAUGUCCCAUUAUGUGCUGCCAUCAGCAAUCAUGGGGUUGUCCACCAUCAUGCCAACCUGGGGCCCUACAACUCACCAGCUCCUCAUUUUCCUCAAUCACAUGUGAGAUGCUCUGUUAGGGCAGCAGGAUGAGCAUCCCAUCUAUGUUUGGGACAAUGUGAGUUUUCACAGAGCCCUCCAGGUUAGAGUGGUUCAAUAUGAACCAAGGUUUUAUCAAUCUUUGCUUUCCACUGUACUCCCCUUUCCUAAACCCCAUUGAGGAAUUCUUCUCAUGGCGGUGGAAGGUAUGUGAAUGCCAACCUUACACCAAGGUAAAUCUCCUGCAAGCCAUGGAACUUGCCUGUGGUGACAUAGGUGUGGAGGCAUGCCAGGGUGUGUGGGUUUUUUUUUUUUUUUUCUUCCCCUUCCCCUGUUGCCUAGCCAGACAAUGUGGCCUGUGAUGUGGAUGAAGUCCUGUGGCCUGACCCAGUACGGAGACAUGAUGCUGUGGCUGAGUAAUGCACUUAUUUGUGUACUUUAUUUUUACAUGGGCUUACUGUACACAAGUGGCAAAUGCACAAGAUUUCUGCUUGUGCAUUUACAUCACUUAUAAA